rnacentral:tRNA from 3 species
GGGUCUAUAGCUCAGUUGGCUAGAGCAUGUGGUUCAUACCCACAGUGUCAGAGGUUCAAGUCCUCUUAGACCCACCA